CCCAAGAGGCACAGCCAAGCAGGUCUAGGCACAUUUGCAUCCCUUCCCCAGGCCUGCUGGGACUUCAUAUGGCUCUGGUGUGGCUCUUAAUUAUAGCAAACACAGUCAUAGCUGGAGAGUUCUCCUGUGGCCUCAUUGGGCCUAAGGCUAAAAAGAUGUCUCGGGGUGGUGGCCGAAUAAUUUAAGCCCAGUGAUGCGAGAGUGCUCUGUUUACUGAAGUGAAGCCCUUCUGGGGAGAAUCCCGCCAGAGAACACAGAGACUCCAAAGAGUGGGUGGAAGAGGCCAGUGUUCGGCUGGGAAGCUAGCUCUGUCAGUAAAGAGCUUGCCCCAAGGGGACCUGGGUUUGAUCCCCAGGAUUCAGGUGAAAACAGGCUGUCAGUGCUGGGGAGGUAGGACAGAUGGAGCUCUGGGGCCUACCUAUCUUAUUUGGUGAGUUCUCAGGGUUGUGGAGAGACCGACUCCAAAAACAAUGUGGAUGACACCUGAGGGUGUACAACUGAGAUUGGCCUCUGACCACCACAUCCACCACUAUUGUUGCACACACAGACAUACCUGCACAUGUGGACAAACAAAAAUGCACAUAUAUCACCAAGGGGUUACUCAGCCUGGUCAAGGAGGAAAAAUGGCUUGGUUUUGUUUGUUUUGUUUUUGUUUGUUUGUUUUUAUGACAAUAAUGUCUGAGGUAUCAGGCAGCGGCAUUUGAAGGUUAUAAGCAGAGACCCGCCAUAGGGCAGACGGAUGAAUGUGUUUGGAGGAUCCUGGCAAGCUUGCUUCUGUACCACCAGGUUCUGUGCCUCCUCCUGCAUGCCACCCAGCCUAGGAACCCGGC
rnacentral:lncRNA from 1 species